rnacentral:rRNA from 1 species
UACGGGGGGGGCGAGCGUUGUUCGGAAUUACUGGGCGUAAAGAGCUCGUAGGUGGUUCGGUAAGUCGGGUGUUAAACCCCCAGGCUCAACCUGGGGACGCCACUCGAUACUGCUGUGACUAGAGUCCGGUAGGGGAGCGUGGAAUUCCUGGUGUAGCGGUGAAAUGCGCAGAUAUCUGGAGGAACACCGGUGGCGAAGGCGGCUACCUGGCCCAACAUUGACGCUGAGACCCGAAAGCGUGGGGAUCAAACAGG